rnacentral:rRNA from 1 species
AAAAGCACUUUGAAAAGAGAGUGAAAAGAACGUGAAACUGCUACGGUGAAAGCGGAUUGCAUCGACUAAAUUUGUGCACACUGCGUGUUCACUUUGGAAUUUUUUUUCAAAGGUAUUCACGUCUAGGAGCUAUCCUAUCGCGUGCUCGGGGUGGCCGAUUUUAUGGGUCGCUGCGGGCAGAGGAAUUUCCUUUUCGGAGUCUGAAGGCGAUAGGGGCGGAGAUGCGAUCCGACCCGUCUUGAAACACGGACCAAGGAGUGCAGCACAUGUGCGAGUCGUAGGGUGUCGAAGCCCGAAGGCGGAGUUAACGCGAGUUUUAAUCUUUCCUCUAAAACUAGCAGUUUGAGGCGGCAUACGAUCGUUGAUUGUAAGUCUGCCCUGGAGCAUAUGUGGUGCGACCCGAAAGAUGGUGAACUAUACCGGAGGAGGGCGAAGCCAGAGGAAACUCUGGUGGAGGCUCGCAGCUGUGCUGACGUGCAAAUCGCUAGUCCGACUCGGGUAUAGGGGCGAAAGACUCAUCGAACCAUCUAGUAGCUGGUUUCCCCCGAAGUUUCUCUCAGGAUAGCGGCCCAACGCGUUGUUGUCAUGUGCGGUAAAGCGAAUGAUUAGCGUAUUUGGGGGUUUUCAACCUUCAGACGAUUCUCAAACUUUAAAUGCGCAUGAUGAUGGUGCUGUUUAUUUAAGCAGUUUCGUUAGAAACGUUGGG